UAUGACGGUACCCUUUCGAAUAAGAGGUUGCUAACUCUGUGCCAGCAGCAGCGGUAAUACAGAGACCUCGAGCGUUAUCCGGAUUUACUGGGCGUAAAGCGUCUGUAGGGGGUUUGUUAAGUUCCAAGUAAAAUCUUAAGGCUCAACUUUAAGUUCGCUUGGAAAACUAAUAAACUGGAGUCCAGCAGAGGUGCAUGGAACUUGCGGUGUAGGAGUGAAAUCCGUUGAUAUCGCAAGGAACACCAAAGGCGAAGGCAUUGCACUGGGCUGGUACUGACCCUGAGAGACGAAAGCGUGGGGAGCAAAACGGAUUAGAUACCCGUGUAGUCCACGCCGUAAACGAUGGAUACUAGAUGUUCGGGGAUUCGACCCCCUGGGUGUCACAGCUAACGCGUUAAGUAUCCCGCCUGGGAAGUACGGCCGCAAGGCUAAAACUCAAAGGAAUAGACGGGGAUCCGCACAAGCGGUGGAGCGUCUGGUUUAAUUUGAUAGUAAGCAAUGGACCUCACCAAGGUUUGACAUCCUAUGACAACCCUGGAAACAGGGCUUCCUUCGGGCAUAGUGACAGGUGCUGCAUGGUCGUCGUCAGUUCGUGCCGUGAGGUGUUCCGUUAAGUCGGGAAACGAACGAAACCCUCGUCGCAUGUUACAAAUUUCAUGCGAGACUGCCCGGGUCAACCGGGAGGAAGGUGGGGAUGACGUCAGAUCAGCAUGGCCCUUAUACCUUGGGCUACACAGGCGCUACAAUGGCCGGUACAAAGGGUUGCAAAACCGCGAGGUGAAGCUAAUCCCAUAAAGCCGGUCCAAGUUCGGAUUGGAGGCUGCAACUCGCCUCCAUGAAGUUGGAAUCGCUAGUAAUCGUGGAUCAGCCAUACCACGGUGAUACGUUCCCGGAUCUUGUACUCACCGCCCGUCACACCAAGAGAGUUGGUAGCUCCUGAAG
rnacentral:rRNA from 1 species